rnacentral:ncRNA from 2 species
AUAAAUGUAGUAAUCCUGGGUGCCCCGCUUAACGGCGGGGAGAAUAGGGAAGCCGGUGCGAAUCCGGUGCGGACCCGCCGCUGUAACCGGGUACGAAAGCCACAGCAGACCCACUGGCGGUAAAACCGCCGGGAAGGUGUGGCCGUAGGACGAUCCGGAAGCCAGAAGACCUGCCCAGGGUGGAGAACAUAC